rnacentral:rRNA from 1 species
ACGGGGGGUGCAAGCGUUGUUCGGAAUCAUUGGGCGUAAAGAGCGUGUAGGCGGCUUAACAAGUCAGAUGUGAAAUCCCUGGGCUUAACCCAGGAAGUGCAUUUGAAACUGUUUGGCUUGAGUAAGGGAGAGGAAGAUGGAAUUCCUGGUGUAGGGGUAAAAUUCGUAGAGAUCAGGAGGAAUACCGAUGGCGAAGGCGAUUUUCUGGCCCUAUACUGACGCUGAGACGCGAAAGCGUGGGUAGCAAACAG